AACGAACGCUGGCGGCGUGGAUUAGGCAUGCAAGUCGAACGAGGAAGUGCCCCGUAAGGGGCGCAAGCCUAGUGGCGAAAGGGUGAGUAAUGCAUUGAUAACCUGCCUUUGAGAUGGGAAUAACUGCGUUUCGAGCAAUCGGAACUACCGAAAGGGCUGCUAAUACCCAAUAAUACUAUAGGUGCAAAAGCACUUGUGGUCAAAUGCUAGGAAUUCUGUUCCUUGUGCUUAAAGAGGGGUUAAUGUCCUAUCAGCUAGUUGGUGGGGUAAUGGCCUACCAAGGCAAAGACGGGUAGCCGGCUUGAGAGGGUGGUCGGCCACACUGGGACUGAGACACUGCCCAGACUCCUACGGGAGGCUGCAGUCGAGAAUCUUUCGCAAUGCCCGAAAGGGUGACGAAGCGACGCCGCGUGUGGGAAGAAGGCCUUCGGGUUGUAAACCACUGUCGGGAGUUAGGAAAUGCAGGUGCGUUAAUAGCGCACUUGCUUGACUAAGGCUCCAGAGGAAGCCACGGCUAACUCUGUGCCAGCAGCCGCGGUAAUACAGAGGCGGCAAGCGUUGUUCGGAAUUAUUGGGCGUAAAGAGCACGUAGGCGGCCUUGCAAGUCAGUUGUGAAAGCCUUCCGCUUAACGGAAGAACGGCAUCUGAUACUACAGGGCUUGAGUACGGGAGGGGAGAGUGGAACUUCUGGUGGAGCGGUGAAAUGCGUAGAUAUCAGAAGGAACGCCGGCGGCGAAAGCGACUCUCUGGUCCGAAACUGACGCUGAGUGUGCGAAAGCUAGGGGAGCAAACGGGAUUAGAUACCCCGGUAGUCCUAGCCGUAAACGAUGGGCACUAAGUAGAGGGGUUUUGAUUAUUUCUCUGCCGGAGCUAACGCAUUAAGUGCCCCGCCUGGGGAGUACGGCCGCAAGGCUAAAACUCAAAAGAAUUGACGGGGGCUCGCACAAGCGGUGGAGCAUGUGGCUUAAUUCGAUGCAACGCGAAGAACCUUACCUAGGCUUGAAAGGCAAGUGACAGGGUAUGAAAGUACCCCUCCAGCAAUGGCACUUGUACAGGUGCUGCAUGGCUGUCGUCAGCUCGUGCCGUGAGGUGUUGGGUUAAGUCCCGCAACGAGCGCAACCCCUACUAUUAGUUGCCACCAGGUUAUGCUGAGCACUCUAAUAGGACUGCCUACGCAAGUAGUGAGGAAGGUGGGGAUGACGUCAAGUCCGCAUGGCCCUUACGCCUAGGGCUACACACGUGCUACAAUGGGUGUUACAAUGGGUUGCCAAACCGCAAGGUGGAGCCAAUCCUUUAAAAGCAUCCUCAGUUCGGAUUGGAGUCUGAAACUCGACUCUAUGAAGUUGGAAUUGCUAGUAAUCGUGGAUCAGCACGCCACGGUGAAUACGUUCCCGGGCCUUGUACACACCGCCCGUCAAGCCAUGGAAGCCGGGGGUACCCAAAGCCAGUAUUCUAACCGCAAGGAGGAAACUGUUUAAGGUAAAACCGGUGACUGGGGCUA
rnacentral:rRNA from 1 species